GGACUACCCGGGUAUCUAAUCCUGUUUGCUCCCCUUGCUCUCGCGCCUCAGCGUCAGGAAAAAGCUAGAAAACCGCUUUCGCCACCGGUGUUCUUCCACAUAUCUACGCAUUUCACCGCUACACGUGGAAUUCCGUUUUCUCCGCCCAUCCUCUAGACUAUCAGUCUCAAAUGCAGCUCCGAAGUUGAGCUCCGGAAUUUCACAUCUGACUUGAUAAACCGCCUACGCGCCCUUUACGCCCAAUAAUUCCGAUUAAUGCUUGCACCCUCCGUAUUACCGCGGCUGCUGGCAC
rnacentral:rRNA from 1 species